CAGAGGUGUUCUAGAGGUGUUCCAGAGGUGCUCCAGAGGUGCUCCAGAGGUGCUCCAGAGGUGUUCCAGAGGUGUUCCAGAGGUGUUCCAGAGGUGUUCCAGAGGUGUUCCAGAGGUGCUCCAGAGGUGCUCCAGAGGUGUUCCAGAGGU